UACGGGGGGAGCAAGCGUUGUUCGGAUUUACUGGGCGUAAAGGGCGCGUAGGCGGUCAGCACAAGUCAGUUGUGAAAUCUCCGGGCUUAACUCGGAAAGGUCAACUGAUACUGUGCGACUAAAGUGCGGAAGGGGCAACUGGAAUUCUUGGUGUAGCGGUGAAAUGCGUAGAUAUCAAGAGGAACACCUGCGGCGAAGGCGAGUUGCUGGGCCGACACUGACGCUGAGGCGCGAAAGCCAGGGGAGCGAACGGG
rnacentral:rRNA from 1 species